rnacentral:rRNA from 1 species
GAUGAACGCUAGCUACAGGCUUAACACAUGCAAGUCGAGGGGCAUCACAGUGUAGCAAUACACGGGUGGCGACCGGCGCACGGGUGCGUAACACGUAUCCAAUCUGCCCGUUACUCGGGGAUAGCCUUCUGAAAGGAAGAUUAAUACCCGAUGGCAUGUAUUUCCGGCAUCGGAGAUACAUUAAAGAUUUAUCGGUAACGGAUGAGGAUGCGUACGAUUAGCUGGUUGGCGGGGUAACGGCCCACCAAGGCUACGAUCGUUAGGGGUUCUGAGAGGAAGGUCCCCCCACACUGGAACUGAGACACGGUCCAGACUCCUACGGGAGACAGCAGUUAGGAAUAUUCGUCAAUGGGGGAAACCCUGAACGAGCAAUGCCGCGUGAGUGAUGACGGUCCUAUGGAUUGUAAAACUCUGUUGUUUGGAAAGAACUGUAUAAGUAGGAAAUGACUUAUACUUGACGGUACCAUUCAAGAAAGCCAACGGCUAACUACGUGCCAGCAGCCGCGGU